CUUCGGCCCGUAAACCCCUGUCAUUUGCGAACAAAUGAUUUUACCUAACACGUAAAGCCUUGAUAGUAGCGGAAGAGGAAGGGACGGCUAACUCUGUGC
rnacentral:rRNA from 1 species